GCGUACCUUUUGUAUAAUGGGUCAGCGACUUAUAUUCUGUAGCAAGGUUAACCGAAUAGGGGAGCCGAAGGGAAACCGAGUCUUAACUGGGCGUUAAGUUGCAGGGUAUAGACCCGAAACCCGGUGAUCUAGCCAUGGGCAGGUUGAAGGUUGGGUAACACUAACUGGAGGACCGAACCGACUAAUGUUGAAAAAUUAGCGGAUGACUUGUGGCUGGGGGUGAAAGGCCAAUCAAACCGGGAGAUAGCUGGUUCUCCCCGAAAGCUAUUUAGGUAGCGCCUCGUGAAUUCAUCUCCGGGGGUAGAGCACUGUUUCGGCAAGGGGGUCAUCCCGACUUACCAACCCGAUGCAAACUGCGAAUACCGGAGAAUGUUAUCACGGGAGACACACGGCGGGUGCUAACGUCCGUCGUGAAGAGGGAAACAACCCAGACCGCCAGCUAAGGUCCCAAAGUCAUGGUUAAGUGGGAAACGAUGUGGGAAGGCCCAGACAGCCAGGAUGUUGGCUUAGAAGCAGCCAUCAUUUAAAGAAAGCGUAAUAGCUCACUGGUCGAGUCGGCCUGCGCGGAAGAUGUAACGGGGCUAAACCAUGCACCGAAGCUGCGGCAGCGACACUGUGUGUUGUUGGGUAGGGGAGCGUUCUGUAAGCCUGUGAAGGUGUGCUGUGAGGCAUGCUGGAGGUAUCAGAAGUGCGAAUGCUGACAUAAGUAACGAUAAAGCGGGUGAAAAGCCCGCUCGCCGGAAGACCAAGGGUUCCUGUCCAACGUUAAUCGGGGCAGGGUGAGUCGACCCCUAAGGCGAGGCCGAAAGGCGUAGUCGAUGGGAAACAGGUUAAUAUUCCUGUACUUGGUGUUACUGCGAAGGGGGGACGGAGAAGGCUAUGUUGGCCGGGCGACGGUUGUCCCGGUUUAAGCGUGUAGGCUGGUUUUCCAGGCAAAUCCGGAAAAUCAAGGCUGAGGCGUGAUGACGAGGCACUACGGUGCUGAAGCAACAAAUGCCCUGCUUCCAGGAAAAGCCUCUAAGCAUCAGGUAACAUCAAAUCGUACCCCAAACCGACACAGGUGGUCAGGUAGAGAAUACCAAGGCGCUUGAGAGAACUCGGGUGAAGGAACUAGGCAAAAUGGUGCCGUAACUUCGGGAGAAGGCACGCUGAUAUGUAGGUGAAGUCCCUCGCGGAUGGAGCUGAAAUCAGUCGAAGAUACCAGCUGGCUGCAACUGUUUAUUAAAAACACAGCACUGUGCAAACACGAAAGUGGACGUAUACGGUGUGACGCCUGCCCGGUGCCGGAAGGUUAAUUGAUGGGGUCAGCGCAAGCGAAGCUCUUGAUCGAAGCCCCGGUAAACGGCGGCCGUAACUAUAACGGUCCUAAGGUAGCGAAAUUCCUUGUCGGGUAAGUUCCGACCUGCACGAAUGGCGUAAUGAUGGCCAGGCUGUCUCCACCCGAGACUCAGUGAAAUUGAACUCGCUGUGAAGAUGCAGUGUACCCGCGGCAAGACGGAAAGACCCCGUGAACCUUUACUAUAGCUUGACACUGAACAUUGAGCCUUGAUGUGUAGGAUAGGUGGGAGGCUUUGAAGUGUGGACGCCAGUCUGCAUGGAGCCGACCUUGAAAUACCACCCUUUAAUGUUUGAUGUUCUAACGUGGACCCGUGAUCCGGGUUGCGGACAGUGUCUGGUGGGUAGUUUGACUGGGGCGGUCUCCUCCUAAAGAGUAACGGAGGAGCACGAAGGUUGGCUAAUCCUGGUCGGACAUCAGGAGGUUAGUGCAAUGGCAUAAGCCAGCUUGACUGCGAGCGUGACGGCGCGAGCAGGUGCGAAAGCAGGUCAUAGUGAUCCGGUGGUUCUGAAUGGAAGGGCCAUCGCUCAACGGAUAAAAGGUACUCCGGGGAUAACAGGCUGAUACCGCCCAAGAGUUCAUAUCGACGGCGGUGUUUGGCACCUCGAUGUCGGCUCAUCACAUCCUGGGGCUGAAGUAGGUCCCAAGGGUAUGGCUGUUCGCCAUUUAAAGUGGUACGCGAGCUGGGUUUAGAACGUCGUGAGACAGUUCGGUCCCUAUCUGCCGUGGGCGCUGGAGAACUGAGGGGGGCUGCUCCUAGUACGAGAGGACCGGAGUGGACGCAUCACUGGUGUUCGGGUUGUCAUGCCAAUGGCACUGCCCGGUAGCUAAAUGCGGAAGAGAUAAGUGCUGAAAGCAUCUAAGCACGAAACUUGCCCCGAGAUGAGUUCUCCCUGACCCUUUAAGGGUCCUGAAGGAACGUUGAAGACGACGACGUUGAUAGGCCGGGUGUGUAAGCGCAGCGAUGCGUUGAGCUAACCGGUACUAAUGAACCGUGAGGCUUAACCU
rnacentral:rRNA from 1 species